UUACGAGGUCAGGACACUGUGAGGAUUGGCAGAUUGAAAGCUCUUUCUUGAUUCAGUGGGUGGUGGUGCAUGGCCGUUCUUAGUUGGUGGAGUGAUUUGUCUGGUUAAUUCCGUUAACGAACGAGACCUUAACCUGCUAAAUAGUCACGCGAACCGGUCCGCAAGGGCUCAAAGUUCGCGGCUCGACUUCUUAGAGGGACUAUUCGCACCCGCCAGCGAAUGGAAGUUUGAGGCAAUAACAGGUCUGUGAUGCCCUUAGAUGUUCUCGGCCGCACGCGCGUUACACUGACGGAGUCAACGAGCGUUUUUCCUUGCCCGACAGGGCUGGGUAACCUCCUGAAACUCCGUCGUGAUGGGGAUAGAUCAUUGCAAUUAUUGAUCUUGAACGAGGAAUUCCUAGUAAGCGCGAGUCAUCAACUCGCGCUGAUUACGUCCCUGCCCUUUGUACACACCGCCCGUCGCUCCUACCGAUUGAACGGUCCGGCGAGAACUCCGGAUGGUC
rnacentral:rRNA from 1 species